rnacentral:rRNA from 1 species
GACGAACGCUGGCGGCGUGCUUAACACAUGCAAGUCGAACGGUAAGGCCCUUCGGGGUACACGAGUGGCGAACGGGUGAGUAACACGUGGGUGCUCUGCCCUGCACUUCGGGAUAAGCCUGGGAAACUGGGUCUAAUACCGGAUAGGACCACUGCCUACAUGGGUGGUGGGGGAAAGCGUUUGCGGUGUGGGAUGGGCCCGCGGCCUAUCAGCUUGUGGGUGGGGUGAUGGCCUACCAAGGCGACGACGGGUAGCCGGCCUGAGAGGGUGACCGGCCACACUGGGACUGAGAUACGGCCCAGACUCCUACGGGAGGCAGCAGUGGGGAAUAUUGCACAAUGGGCGCAAGCCUGAUGCAGCGACGCCGCGUGAGGGAUGACGGCCUUCGGGUUGUAAACCUCUUUCAGCACCGACGAAGCGCAAGUGACGGUAGGUGCAGAAGAAGGACCGGCCAACUACGUGCCAGCCGCCGCGGUAA